rnacentral:tRNA from 1 species
UGGGGCGUCGCCAAGCGGUAAGGCAGCGGCCUUUGGAGCCGCUAUUCGGAGGUUCGAAUCCUUCCGCCCCAG